GCCUUCUGAAUAGCUCAGUUGGUUAGAGCGUGGUGCUGAUAAUGCCAAGGUUGCAGGUUCGAUCCUGUAUGGUGGCA